rnacentral:rRNA from 1 species
ACGCUCGACACCUACGGGAGCAGCAGUGGGGAAUAUUGCACAAUGGGGGAAACCCUGAUGCAGCGACGCCGCGUGAAGGAAGAAGUAUCUCGGUAUGUAAACUUCUAUCAGCAGGGAAGAAAAUGACGGUACCUGACUAAGAAGCCCCGGCUAACUACGUGCUAGCAGCCGCGGUAAUCUGAGCGGGCUGGCAAGGC